CCUACGGGGGGCUGCAGUGGGGAAUUUUGGACAAUGGGCGCAAGCCUGAUCCAGCCAUUCCGCGUGCAGGACGAAGGCCUUCGGGUUGUAAACUGCUUUUGUACGGAGCGAAAAGCCUUGAAUUAAUACCUCGAGGUCAUGACGGUACCGUAAGAAUAAGCACCGGCUAACUACGUGCCAGCAGCCGCGGUAAUACGUAGGGUGCAAGCGUUAAUCGGAAUUACUGGGCGUAAAGCGUGCGCAGGCGGUUAUGUAAGACAGAGGUGAAAUCCCCGGGCUCAACCUGGGAACUGCCUUUGUGACUGCAUAGCUCGAGUGCGGCAGAGGGGGAUGGAAUUCCGCGUGUAGCAGUGAAAUGCGUAGAUAUGCGGAGGAACACCGAUGGCGAAGGCAAUCCCCUGGGCCUGCACUGACGCUCAUGCACGAAAGCGUGGGGAGCAAACAGGAUUAGAUACCCUAGUAGUC
rnacentral:rRNA from 1 species